GACAAUAGCAUAUUGGAUAACUCAAGGGUGGUUAGCACACUCCCGAAAGGGGGUGAUGCUUUAUGACAGUUGCAGAAUCAUUGAUGCUUAUGGUAAGUUUUGGAGCGUUAAUUGUUGCAAUUAUGUCAGAUAAAAAUAACAAAAAAUAAAAUCCACCCUUGAGUUUGCGGCUCGUUUCGGUGGAUUUUAUCUGCUAACAUUCGUGCUGAUCCCCCUUGCAGGGAACCUAGCUAUUGUAUAGGCUGGAGGUGUUACAGCACCUUCA
rnacentral:sRNA from 1 species